GACGAACGCUGGCGGCGUGCCUAAUACAUGCAAGUCGACCUUAGUGGCGGACGGGUGAGUAAUGCCUAGGAAUCUGCCUGGUAGUGGGGGAUAACGUCCGGAAACGGGCGCUAAUACCGCAUACUAUCAGAUGAGCCUAGGUCGGAUUAGCUAGUUGGUGGGGUAAAGGCCUACCAAGGCGACGAUCCGUAACUGGUCUGAGAGGAUGAUCAGUCACACUGGAACUGAGACACGGUCCAGACUCCUACGGGAGGCAGCAGUGGGGAAUAUUGGACAAUGGGCGAAAGCCUGAUCCAGCCAUGCCGCGUGUGUGAAGAAGGUCUUCGGAUUGUAAAGCACUUUAAGUUGGGAGGCGUUACCAACAGAAUAAGCACCGGCUAACUUCGUGCCAGCAGCCGCGGUAAUAC
rnacentral:rRNA from 1 species